rnacentral:lncRNA from 1 species
UGCCUACCUGCGUGUGGGAGCGCUCGGCGGCCAUGCGCUCGCGGGGGUUUUUAUUUCUCGGUUUAAAAACUGCCCUUUGGGUAAAUGCAGCAUGGCCAGCUCCUGGAAGGGAGACUUCUGCAUUUCUCGACUGAAAACAGUUCGUAAUUGACUGCUAAAAGUUGGGUGGUGAUGAUGAUGAAGGAAAGCCAAAUAUAGGCGGAGUAGACUGUUGGUGCUGAGAUUUUUCUCUUUCUGGGUAGACGCGCUUUACCCCAUACUGUAGAAUAAUCUUUGAAGAGUAUUGCAGUAAUGCUUGUUUUUUUUCUUCCCUGGCAGAAUGGUGUCUUGAAGUAAAGAGUAAGUUAAACUUUAUUUUGUACUAAGCUGCACAAGGUUAUUAAGAAAGUUCCAGGCCUUUACUUGCUCAUGACAUAGUUAAAAACAGCACUUGAGAUAGGAAAAAAAAAAAACCCACUAAUUUUGUCAGCUUAAAACUAAUUUUACAUGCCAUUAGCUUAUAGAGCUAACGCCUUCUAUAAACAAAGGAGAAAAUCUACUGUUGAGACACAAUAACUGUUCAGUCUUGACCCAAGUAAUCAAAUACCAGAGUUGUUGGCUGUUGAUGAUGAUACCCCUGAAUAGGAAGUGCCGUCAGAUGCGAGAACUGACGAUAACCUUCUUACUUGUCUGAAAUACAGCUACUUGCAUGUGGAGUUUGAGUUGUCUGGAAGUGUGUAUGCUAGAACUAAUCAGGCAACUUUUAUCUGUGCUUUGCUUUCUGUAAAAAGUGAUCCUGUAGUAUCCAUCAUGGAUUAAUAUCCAUCUCUUUCAUUUAUGCUGCAGAGUUUGGUAUUUCCAGAGAAAUGUGAUCCCUUUAGUACAGGGAGCAGGCAGGUCCCUGAAAAUCGCACCAAUGUGAAGGUGUUCCUACUGAAAACUUGCUUGUCUGAGGAAGAAGAAAUCCACUAAAAUACUCAAGGGAGCAGGGAAGCAGUCGUCAUAAACUCUACCUGUUUUCCUGUCCUAAGACUUUAAGAAAUACUAAAAAUUACACUGCUGUGCAUAUAUUAAAGUUAUCAAAACAAUUUAUGUUUGGGUCUGUGUCAUUUUUACUGGAUAAAGGAAUGUCUUUUAAAAAGAGUAUUGUUAUAAGGGAAAAAAACAUACUCGAUGCUCAUAAUUUGCUAUAACAUGAUAAAGUACAUGUGUACACAGUACAGUAUAAUUACUGCAGAUGAUGUGAAUAGAUUUUAGUUGUAUAAGCAUUCCAUCUGGUGUUUGAUAAUUUACUUGCCUUAAACAAUUUAAACAAGUGAUGAUAAUACUGCUGCUGCAAUUACUGUAGGGAUUAGGCCUUAAGUAGCUCUACAAGGAGAGCAAACAUUCCAUAUAGGACAAACAACUAUUUCUUUAGCUUGUUGGAGGGUUGAAAUUUCUUGCUCGUUAUUUUGGCCUCAACGUUUUGGCAAGUCUUCUGCAGAGGUAGCAGAAUCUGUUCCUGCAG